rnacentral:snRNA from 1 species
GGAAUCGAGAGCUCCAAG